GUAAGGGCUGGUGUUGGAAGUGUGCAGGUCUGAGUGCUGUGGAUUUGCAGUGUGAUUGCAAUGCACAACUCAGUUCUGCCUCAGUUUCCUCCUCUGCCUGAUGAAUUUACAACGCAUGUCAGCCUUGCACUGCCCUUGACUUUCUAGUGUGUCCAAAUGCUUCCAUGCAACCUGUGGGUGAUGCCAAAAAUAGCUUUCCUCUUCUAAGUGCUUCAUUACUGAGGACAAGAUGUUGGCAUUCCAUAGUGACUCAAGGGAUGUGAAGAGGGGUGCAAGAGCUCUCAACAAGGGACAUGUAAUCAAAGAAUGGUUUAGGUAAGAAGUGACCUUCACAAUCCUGUUCUAACCCCCACCAUGGGCAGGGACACCUUACACUAAACCAGGUUGCUCCAAACCCUGUCCAACCUUGUCUUGGACACUCCCUGGAAUGGAAUAUCCACAAGUCCUCUGUCAAGUGUGACCCAGUGCCUCAGAGAUGAGCUGCUGCUUCUCCUUCUGCAGUCAGCCCAAGGUCACAUAAUAUCUGAAGCUUACUCUUGUUGGCAGCAACCAAGGUGCUUUCUGCCACCAUCAAAGACUAAGUCUGUUGGAGUUCAUAUAUGUCCUUUUCUUUUUUCAUUCUUUUGGUAAUUUUUAUCCUCUCUCGCAUCCCACCUGAGGGUGACUUUUGAAAAGUUCCUGUCUCUGAAGCUUGCUGCUUUCCCAUGAGAAGGAACCAUAUUACACCAAGGGUUGCUGUUUUCAGCAGGUCUUGUCAUCUGCCCUCUGUCUUGCAAGUAAAACUCGUAAUUUUCAUAAAGUUCCAUGGAUCCCGUAAGAAGCAAAAGAAAUAUCCUCUGGCUUUUAUGCUCUGUGGUCCUGAGUCCUUGCACAAGAAAAGCUCCCACUGGCUUAGGGCAGACUUUUGUCUGGUUUCUGAAGCUACACUUCUCCGUGAGAUUCAUAAAGGAAACCUUCAAAGCCUGUGGGUACAUGCCCAGCUUGUGUGGGCCAGCGCUUUGGAGAACACACAUCACUUUUAUGCUCAGGAAAUCAAACCUGGGCACAGGGAAACGAUCACUUUAGCUUUCAGAAAGAGAGAGUGCCUGACCUGGAAUUCACAGUAUUUCAUUUCAGUGUGGAGCAGCACGAUGGAGAGAUUUGGCUGUGUUUGGCAGGAGGAUGCAAACCAGAAUCAGCACGGGCAGCUGCUCCAUCACAGAUGCUCUCGCUGGCUGAAGAGCAAAAUCCAGAUUCUUCACACCUUUACUUUCUUUCUUUCUUUUAUGGCAUUCAGGACUGACCUGCAGAGUGGGGAAUUUAAGGGAGGUUCUCAGAAAAUGUUCAUGCACGGAGGGGUUAUCCUACUUUUUCUAUUAAAUUUUCACUUUCCUGAGCUACUCUAUCUCUCCAGGGAAAUGGGACAUUAGGUUUUGUAUCUACCAGUGGGCCCUAAACACCCAGAAGUUAUUACUAUCAGGAAUUCUAAAACCUUUUUUUUUCUUAAUAACAAUUUUUUUUUCUCUGACAAAAUGGGAGUUUUAAUUUGAAGCCAUUUAAAAAUGGGAAAUUGAGUUUUCAACAUAUGCCCAGAUGCAAGGAUCUACCUGCAUGUCAUUAUUUCUUUUUUCUUCUGUUUUCUCCUGCCCUUGCUGCUUUUUUUGCAGCGGCAAAACAAGGUAAAAUAGAAUACAAAAUAAAAUAUUAAAAUAAAAUAAGACA
ensembl:lncRNA